AAAUGGGAAAUACUUGAACUUGUAAGGCAUUCUUUACAUCAAAGGAUAAUUUCCUUAAUCCUGUAUUUUUCAACUAUAUUCUGUGAAAUUCAUAUAUCAUCAUCCUACAAAGUUCCUGCGUUCCAAAAGUAGUGAUUAAGAGAUAAUUUGAGCAAAUGAUACCUCUCAAGAACUGCAGGAUCUGGAGAUGGUCUACUGGCCUAUCUGUGCUGCCGCUUGGCAACCGAGCAGAAGGAACUUCAGGGCUUGCUUAGAUACGAAGAUACCAGGGAAGGUUCGUGUUGUGCCCUCCAAUCCCCAUCUGCUAUCUAAAUAUUUCUAAUCCCAUCUUUUCUUGUAACGAGUAUUCCUGUUUUCUUUUUCUGUAAACCAUUUUCAGCAAGGACCAGCGCAUUCGUGAUACAAAGAAGGUUGCGCCAAAGCAUCAGUGCACAAAUCCAAGCACAGUUCAGACAACUUAACUACCCUUGCCGCUCACUGAGUCACGCCGAGCCACUUUGAGAAGUUCUCAAACUCGGUGUAGUCGCUGUCCGAGACCAUGGUCUUGUACCAUGCCUUGCCAGCAGCCUUAUCACUGGCCAAUCUAUAUUUUAUCACUUGUUUCUAGACAGUUGUGAAAUAGUUUUCUAAACUGUGAAAUCAGCCAUAUUUUUAUCACUUGUUUCUAGAAUUUAUGGAUCUGAACUAGCCAUAUUUUUAUCACUUACUUCAGCUACACAUUUUAUGUGGUCCGCCCGCUCUACGCUCCUGGCUACAUUGCUAAUGGUCCACUUUACUUUCUGCUAGGGUUCAUUUUCUUAAUCCAUUACACUGACCGAGCUGUGUGUGGUUCAUUUUCUUAAUCCAUUACACUGACCGGCCAUAUUGAUAGGAAAUUUUGUU
rnacentral:lncRNA from 1 species